rnacentral:rRNA from 1 species
UGCCGCGUGAGUGAUGAAGGCCUUAGGGUUGUAAAGCUCUUCGCCAGGGACGAUAAUGACGGUACCUGGAAAAGAAGCCCCGGCUAACUUCGUGC